UGGAAAGAUUUUUCGGUUUGGGAUGGGCUCGCGGCCUAUCAGCUUGUUGGUGAGGUAAUGGCUCACCAAGGCGUCGACGGGUAGCCGGCCUGAGAGGGUGACCGGCCACACUGGGACUGAGACACGGCCCAGACUCCUACGGGAGGCAGCAGUGGGGAAUAUUGCACAAUGGGCGGAAGCCUGAUGCAGCAACGCCGCGUGAGGGAUGACGGCCUUCGGGUUGUAAACCUCUUUUAGCAGGGAAGAAGCGAAAGUGACGGUACCUGCAGAAAAAGCGCCGGCUAACUACGUGCCAGCAGCCGCGGUAAUACGUAGGGCGCAAGCGUUAUCCGGAAUUAUUGGGCGUAAAGAGCUCGUAGGCGGUUUGUCGCGUCUGCUGUGAAAUCCGGGGGCUCAACCUCGAGCCUGCAGUGGGUACGGGCAGACUAGAGUGCGGUAGGGGAGAUUGGAAUUCCUGGUGUAGCGGUGGAAUGCGCAGAUAUCAGGAGGAACACCGAUGGCGAAGGCAGAUCUCUGGGCCGUAACUGACGCUGAGGAGCGAAAGGGUGGGGAGCAAACAGGCUUAGAUACCCUGGUAGUCCACCCCGUAAACGUUGGGAACUAGUUGUGGGGUCCAUUCCACGGAUUCCGUGACGCAGCUAACGCAUUAAGUUCCCCGCCUGGGGAGUACGGCCGCAAGGCUAAAACUCAAAGGAAUUGACGGGGACCCGCACAAGCGGCGGAGCAUGCGGAUUAAUUCGAUGCAACGCGAAGAACCUUACCAAGGCUUGACAUACACGAGAACGCUGCAGAAAUGUAGAACUCUUUGGACACUCGUGAACAGGUGGUGCAUGG
rnacentral:rRNA from 1 species